AGCGGCGCCGCCCGGGACCACAACCGACCAGGAAUGUCAACAAGGCGAGGGUGACCCGCGGGAGCGUCCGGAGCAGCAACAUUCAUGUAACCUGAAUUUACCUGAGGGCCAUUAUCUCUUUAGUGGCCUCUAUUAGGACAGGAAGCCGACGGCUUGUCGCGCGUCCCCCUAUACCUACACCUGUAAUAGAUAAGUGCCUCCUGUAAAAGCCGAAUGGUGAGGCUAGCGAAGUUUACUAGACGGAAUCUGUGCGAGGGGCUCGACCCCAGGCAAGAUUCUCUAUCACAAUUAUUUAACAAGUCACCGGACGUGCCGACUAUCUGAAGAGACAGUAGGGAAAUACAACCCACUCGACGUUACCGGGACAGCCACCGCAUCUGACCCCAUGGGUCGUAGUCGCCACUAAUGACAAUAAUUAUAUCAACUAGGCCAUCGACUGACCAGUCAGAUGUGGGUCCCAACAAUUGCUUGACGUAUGUCGCAUAUUGGAGUAAGGUAUGACUUCUACUGCACCAUACAAACCACAAGGAAAGAAAACAUGGUCCGGACACUUCCAGUGUUGGCAAUACUCGAUGGUCAAAAGGCAGGACCGAAGAGCCAACGCUCAAGUCCCACAAGCACAGCUAGGAUUCGAACCCAGAAUUCUCAGUUGUGCGUCGAGAAUGAACCCGACUGCUAUCGGGACCCCUUAAACAAGGCAGCAGCAGAAAAAUUGACUCAAAACUUGGAGAUUCGGGAAGUUAUGGAGAGUUCUGGCUGGCUAUGAAGUGUUACAAAAUCAUGCAAUUAAUAAUAUUACCAACAAAUCUCAUUAUAUUUCAAAUACAGUAAUAUAUUUCGCCUUCAGAGGUUAAAAAAAGAUAAAGCCAGGGGCAUAACAAAUUAUAUUUUUAUUUUUAUCCCCUAAAGUUUAUAUUUUGCUUCAGUUUACCUUUUGAGUAUACUAGUACAGUACUGUACUAUACUGUAUUUAAAAUUCAUUGUUUAUAACUCUACUUUAUCUUAUUUGUGUAAAUAUGUGGAGAGGUGUUAUAUAAUUUGCAGUAGAAAAUGUUUUUGUGAACCAUGGCUGCAUACAAUGCUAUACUAAAAUAUUGUAAUACUGUGCACUAGUACUGUAUAUGCAUUGUUGAUUUU
rnacentral:misc_RNA from 1 species